UACAGAGGGUGCGAGCGUUAAUCGGAAUUACUGGGCGUAAAGCGUGUGUAGGCGGCUACAUAAGUCGGAUGUGAAAGCCCCGGGCUCAACCCGGGAAGUGCACUCGAUACUGCGUAGCUUGAGUCUCGGAGAGGUUGGUGGAAUUCUCGGUGUAGAGGUGAAAUUCGUAGAUAUCGAGAGGAACACCGGUGGCGAAGGCGGCCAACUGGACGAAGACUGACGCUGAGACACGAAAGCGUGGGGAGCAAACAGG
rnacentral:rRNA from 1 species